rnacentral:piRNA from 1 species
UCGGAAGGUGUCUUGAGAUUAUCAUCCGC